rnacentral:rRNA from 1 species
GCAGAACGCGAAGAACCUUACCACCUUUUGACAUGCCUGGACCGCUGCAGAGAUGCAGCUUUCCCUUCGGGGACCGAGGACACAGGUGCUGCAUGGCUGUCGUCAGCUCGUGUCGUGAGAUGUUGGGUUAAGUCCCGCAACGAGCGCAACCCUCGCCAUUAGUUGCCAUCAUUAAGUUGGGCACUCUAAUGGGACCGCCGGUGGUAAGCCGGAGGAAGGUGGGGAUGACGUCAAGUCCUCAUGGCCCUUACGGGGUGGGCUACACACGUGCUACAAUGGCGACUACAGAGGGCUGCAACCCUGCGAGGGUGAGCUAAUCCCUAAAAGUCGUCUCAGUUCGGAUUGCACUCUGCAACUCGAGUGCAUGAAGUCGGAAUCGCUAGUAAUCGCGGAUCAGCAUGCCGCGGUG